rnacentral:lncRNA from 1 species
CUUUCCUGUGAGUUUCCUGAGGGGAUGUUUCAUCUUCAGAAAAUAGACAUGUCUGAAGAAAGAACUUCAAAUUGGAAAAAGAUUAAAAAUAGAGAACAGAAGAAGAAAGAAGUUGAGAGCAAGACACUGAGAUACUAAAAAUGUUACUCCACAAGGAGGCUGAAGGAACACUCUUUUAGGGGGAAAAAUACUGAGACAAAAGCACAAAAGGCCAAAGUGAAGUCAUAGGUUACUGACCUUAUUAGAUCUCACACACUCCUAAAAUCUGAAAAUGCUGGCCUUCGGUUGUGUAGACUGUCUAGACUCUGCCAUCCACAGGAUCAGUGAGAUACAGAAGGGGCCCUGUACCAUUCCAGGAAGACUUUAAGCACAGCUUGUCAACUUUCUAGACUGCACUUUCAAGUCUCACUAAAAAAGACCUUCCCUCUCCAUUCUAUUUCUUUAAUUACUUUCUUUCAUAAUUGAUCUGGAGUGUGAAUGACUUGAAUUUAU